UGACAUUUGAUUGACAAAUCAUGCAUUGCGCUGCGUUUGUAUAUUGGACUGUCUUUGCUUGUUAUUGCCAAGUCUAUCUUUUUGUAACCUGAAAAGCUCCUGAAACGCGAAGCCUAGGCUAAAAGAAGAUGAGAAUCCACGCUUUCCUCGCUUUAAUGCUGGUAACAGUUAUCAUUAAAACUGUUGUUUCACAGUCCACGAGUUCUACCCCUUCCCUUACUUCAACACCAAGCUCCUCCCAAGCUUCCCCAACAACAUCGAGUGGUGACGCCUCGGCAUCAGUAUCCGUAUCAGUGUCGCCUACAGCAGUGCAGUCCUCAGCUGCAGCGACCUCCAGCGUGGUGAAUAGGACGACGGCCGAACCCCCAACAACAAAAAGCAGUGCCAACGUACUGGCCCCCACAGUCACGUGUCUUGCUGCAGUCAUUGCCAUCAUGGGUUAUCUGUGGUAACUAUGGCAACAGCCUUGGAGAGAAGAAGCCAGAUCGUGUUUGUUUUUGCUUAGGCAUGCGAGAGCUUUUGUUUAAAGUCAUGAAAUAGAUAACAACAUUUUUUGAUCAAUAAAAAAUAAGUAAAAAAUGAAAAAUAAUGGUUUAAUUCUUAACAUUUUAGCUUGUUUAGACAAUUGUUAACAUUUUAGCGUUUUUUUCUAUUCUUAUUAACAAAAUUAAAAUUCCAGAAUUUG